rfam:Ananas comosus cultivar MD2 ACMD2_Scaffold_2876, whole genome shotgun sequence.
GAUCACCGUGUCCAAUACAAUUGGACACGGUGAUCCAUUCACCGUGUCCAAUACAUUUGUAUUGGACACGGUGAAUGGUUUACCGUGUCCAA